rnacentral:rRNA from 1 species
AUAUCAAUAAGCGGAGGAAAAGAAACUAACAAGGAUUCCCCUAGUAACGGCGAGUGAAGUGGGAAAAGCUCAACUUUGAAAUCUGGCAGCUUCGCUGUCCGAGUUGUAGUCUCGAGAAGCGUUUUCCGCGCCGAAGCAUGUAUGAGUCUGUUGGAAUACAGCGUCAUAGAGGGUGAGAACCCCGUUCACGACAUGCCUUUCGGUGCUUUGUGAUACGCUUUCGAUGAGUCGAGUUGUUUGGGAAUGCAGCUCUAAAUGGGUGGUAAAUUCCAUCUAAAGCUAAAUAUUGGCGGGAGACCGAUAGCAAACAAGUACCGUGAGGGAAAGAUGAAAAGCACUUUGGAAAGAGAGUUAAAAGUACGUGAAAUUGCCGAAAGGGAAACGCUUGAAGUCGGACGUGCAGGGCAACUUGCAGGCCAACAUCGGUUUCACCAGUCGGAUAAAGGUAAGGGGAAGGUAGCAGUCUCGGCUGUGUUAUAGCCCCUUACUGAAUACGGAUGGGGAGACCGAGGACCGCAGCUUUUUGCUAAGGAUGUUGGUGGAACGGCUUUAAACGA